GGUGCUGCCGAUGGGGCUCGGGGCGGGGCGGGGUACCCCGAACGGCGGCCCUGCCCACUCGCCUGCCCGGCUUCCCGCGUCCGCGGUCGCAGGGAGCGCCCCGCCUGGGCACGGGCCGUGCCCGCCGGAGGAGGGAGGAGGCCGGCCGCCGCGGGAACAAUGUGGUCGGUUGUUUUGCCGACUGUCAGCCUCGUUCCCGGAUCCUCCUUUCCACGCCCCUUGGCCUAACCGCCACAGGCCCGGCACGCAGAGGGAAGAGCCCCCUUAUUUGGUCUUGGAAAGAAAGGGGAAAGGUUAUCCUCAGAUGCCUGCGGCGUUGGGUCAUCGGCCCGCAGUUGUUGGCCCGCACCCGGCUGCGGUGCCGUCUCCCGCCGGUAGGUGGCGGCGCCGGGCAGCGCCUCGCGGAGGCGCCCGAAGUGGUAAACAAGCCCCGCAGGUUCCGGUACCUCCGGCUCGGGGUCUUCUUUUGUGUGCGCGCUGGCCGGGGCGUGGGGGUGGUGGCCAGCGGCGGAGGAGGCAGGGGGCGGCGGAGGAGGGGGGGAAGAGCGCGAAAAGAAGAAAACAACGCCUUUUUUGAUGCGACAGUCAAACCUUCGAAAUCGGCUUCAGUGGAGGGUGUGACUUUGCCGUGUCGAUUUCAUGUGACCCAUUUGCUCGCGCACAGGCGGAUGCGGGCGUCAGUUUCAGGGUCCGCCCGGCGGUUGGGAUGCAGAUUCCUUGAGGAACAUCAGUCAGAUCAGCAAGACAGAAAUUACCCUCGCCAUUUUACACGUAGCUCCCAGAGGUUAAGGUCACACAGACCAAGCUGGGAUUUGAACCGUGGGCCUUCACACUUCAAAGCCAAGGCUUGUCCCAUAAUUAGGAGCACAAUGACCUCGCCAAUGAUUCCUCCGAAUAAAGCUCCUGUGAUAUGUAUGUUCUCCAAAGAGCUUUAAAAAGAACCAAAACAGGAGCGUGAUUUGAAUGUCUUCAGCAGAACAGAGCAAAAGCUUUACCACCUGUGGAGGCAAGUCGUAGGGGCCCUUUUGUUUGGCUAAGCGUCCCACCUGCAACUCUGCCCCUUCCCAUUGUUCAUUCCAUCUGCCUCCUGGGGAGAAGGGGGCAAUAAUUUUCACCCAGAAGACCAGUUUCGGGUUUCCUCAUCUGGAGAUAAAUUAAUUUUCCAAGGCACACAAUUAUAGGCAACUUUUCAAAGAGUUACUGAAGGGGCGCCUGGGUGGCUCAGUCGUUAAGCGUCUGCCUUCGGCUCAGGUCAUGGUCCCAGGGUCCUGGGAUCGAGCCCCGAAUCAGGUGCCCCACUCGGCAGGGAGGCUGCUUCUCCCUCUCCCUCUGCCCCUGCUUGUGUUCCCUCUCACGCUAUGUCUCUAUCUGUCAAAUAAAUAAAUAAAAUCUUUAAAAUAAAAAAAAGGUUACUGGAAUGAUAGUUUCAUGCUUAGAUUAACUGGUGCCAGGUUUUCUUUUUCGUUUUUUUUUUUUAAUAAAGAAAGUUUGUGUGAAUAAAGUUAAAUCCAAGAAAUGUGUUUUUUUUCUCUCUCUCUUUUUCAUGAAAUUGUAAAAAAAAAAAAAAGAGAGAGAGAGAGAAAAGAGAAAGCUCCUUCCAGUUUUGGGGGGUUUCCAGGUUUCCAAGAAUUUACUUAGUAGCUUGCUACACAGUAUAUUUCUGUGGAAAAAUUACAGCAAGACCAUCUUAUAGAUCAUUACUUUCCAGUCAUUGUUUUAUUGGUCCCCAGCUUCAAUGAGAACAAGCACUGUCUGGGUUUGCCCUGACCUCCAGAGCUCAAGUCCUCAUUACAGAAGCCAGAGAGGGUCCUUGGCAGGAUCAGGAAUGUGGCAGGGACUCCACACCACAGUCUUUCUGGGAGGGGAAGUUAUAACUGAGUCCUUAAUGUCUCAUCGUCUCAGGGACUGCCCUGUUUAGAGGGGGAGUGGCACCCAGCCACCCAGCACAGCCCACAGCCCUGGAAAGAGUUACCCAGCCUUGGCCACACUCCUUAAUCUCCGUGCUCCAGCUGUUGGGAGGAUUGGAUGAUUUCUUUCAGCGAAGAGCUGAAAACAGUGGCCCAUGGGGAGCACAUCUCCCAGGGUAGUUGGGAUGGGGUGGGGGAGAUUAAAUGAAAUAAUGUUGUAAAACCCUUAGCCCAGAGCCUGGCACCCAGAAAGGAAUCAAUAAAUGUCUGGUGAGCAGCAUAAUCAGCUACCUCUUUUUGAGUGCCAGCUAGAGGGAACAGAUUACUUAAGGCUCUUUAUGUACGCACGUGAAUCCUUAUGGAAAACCUAGGAUGUGAAAAAAGUUAUUGUUCAUACAGGGAAUUCAGAAUCAGGUUAAGCAAAUGACCCAAAGUCAUACAACUAGUAUGUGGCAGGGCCAGAAUCUGUCUGAUUCUGUGUCAUUUUGAUUAUGGGCAGCCCGGAAGGAAAGAAGAGAUCACAAACAGUCCUAUGUACUGAACUAAAGGGUUGUUAUAGGAGAAGUUCCAACUGCCUCCUCGAUAUGAAUAAUUGCUACUAUCCCUGUCUUUGGGGUGGCUGUGGAAGACCAUCAUGUAGGGCUGAUUAGACCUAUAGAUAUAAGAACCAGUCACCUUUGGGUCUCCUGAUUGUCAUCUGCCUAAAUUCCCAAAGCCUCUUGGAACCCUUUUAAGGGCAGAGCAGAGAUGGCUCUAUGUACUGGUUAGGACUCUUUCUGUUUUUGCAAAACACAGAAACCCAACCCAAACUGAGUUAAGCAAAAAGAGAUACAGUUGGCUCAUGCAACUGAUAAUGGAAAGAGGAAGGCUUCAGGCCUGGCUUGAUCCAGGGUUCAACAAUAUUAUCUGGACUUGGCCUUCUUUAUAUCUCAGCUCAAACUUCCUCCACGUUGGCUUUAGUCUCAGAUUGCCUCUCUCACUGACCCUUUUUGGCCCUCAUUGAUCAGGCCUAGGAAAACUUGGGUCCCUAAAAGAAAAGUCAUGGUUUCUUUUAUUAAAAGAGGCUAGGGUUGCCAGUUAGGCAAGAGUAACAGAUGUUCACUCUUCCCUAAGUGGCACCAUCCAAUCAGAAAGACGGUAGAGAAAAAACCUUAAUGGUGAACAUUUUUGCAGCAAAGGAUCUUCAGUAGUCAAGAAGCAGAGGAGAGGUAACUAGAAAUGUUUCCAGUUACACACAGGACCUAGGAUUCCCCUGUUUCAAGUCAGGCUAGCUGACUGUAAAUGAUAGAGUAAAAACCUUGAUGUCAUAAGGAUUGUGUCUGAAGAUCUUUAGAAAUCUUCAUUGUCCUGCUAUAGCAAAAUGCUUUAACAAUAUAAUGUAUAAUAAUAUAAACAUAAUUAAUAUAUAACAAAAUGCCAUGACAUAUGUACUGUUAUAUUGAUCUAUAAAUUAAUGUACAAAUGCAAUAAAAACCUAAUGAUCUUCCUGGACUAAAGAUCUCUGUAGACCCUUAAUGAGAGUUACCUCACACACAACUAUAAAUAAAACGUUACAAAUCUACACUGAGGGUGGAUACCAGGCUGUUGACUCAGUGUGGUCACAAGCUGCGUGAUGCUUUGUUCCUUGCACCAAUCUAAUGCAACUCAAAUCAAACUGGCAAAUUAUUAGAUGUCACGGGCCUCUGGUCACUUCUCAAACAGUCAAGCUUAAGGAUGUCCCCUGGACAAAUGCCAAAGUGCUGCUUUUCUGUCAUUACAUUUGCGAUGGAGGCAUGUUCUAUAUUCAGGAGGUGCUCCUGGGCACUCAAGAGUGGGAUUGGGAAGUGGGCAAGCUCCCCCUCUCCUGCCUGGGGUGUGGCUCCCGGCACCCAUAUUUUCCCCCAGGUCCUCGUGUCCACGCUUCAUCCUGCAUUGUCCCCGUCACUAGGGUGGAAAGUUUGGAUCCCAUUUAGAGGCGGGCACUCAACAUGAAAUUGUCCUUGAUGUCAAUCAAGGCUGUCCAUUUGUCCAAAGACACUCCAAUGUCAUGUCCCAUCCUGUGAGCAGGGAGCAGGUAAAAACCAGCCUGAACAGGUGUUUGUAUCUCCAGAAUGUGCCCUCCCUUCUGUUGGUCUCUGCUGACUCUCCAGCCCUGAGCAGUCAGUUUGCUCCCCCAGUGUCCCUCCUGUGCAGGUCUGUCAUAGACUUUAGGACACUAACACAGGUUGCCAGCUACUGAGCAGGACUAUAGACUGAGUUCUUUCACACCUGAUUUCACUUUGUCCUCCAGCAGCCUGAGAGGCCAACAUUAUAGCUUCAUUCUCCGCAGACGGAACUGGAGCUAACAGAGUCCCCUUGUCACUCGCCCCAAGUCAUGCAGAGAGGAAGUGGGUAAGACCAGAUUUCGUCCCGCGCCCAGGUAAUCCAUGUUUUCAGUUAUCCAGUAGUUACUGAGUAUUUACCAGGUGCCAGGCCAAGUGCUUUGGCCUGUGCUUUCUGUGAGGAGCAAGCCAGACUGGAUGUUGGCCUCGGUACGUUUGGUCCUUUGGAAAGAUGGACAUUGAACAGAGCAAUCAUAAAGCAUAUUAGUUCAAAUUACACAGGGGGCCAUGGAGGAGAGGUACCUAGUGCUGAAUUGUGUGUACUGGGGGAUCUAUCUUUGCCUGGGGUCCCCCACAAGCUGCCCCUGUGACCGGGUUUGGAUGCAAGUA